GGGCGAUUUCAGCGCAGAAACCAUCGCGUCCGUUUCUACUCCGCUACUCCCGGAGGUCUCGAGCCGCUCCUCGUUACGUCACAGCGCCAGCAGAAUACCCGGCACGCGCGAGUGGCGAGUUCCGGGAAGGUCAGGCCAGGUUGGGGAGCAUGCGCUGAUGCAGCGUGUUGCCGCUCCUCGGGAUUCCAGCCGGCAAUCCCCCAGGCAGAUACAGGGUCCAGUCCCACCCAGGAAGUGGCCAUCCAUCUGCCGCAGUCAGGUGUUACAUGGGCGUCCCCUUGGCCUGGUCCAGCUGCUUGGGUCCUCAGCAAUGAUACAAUGAUGCUUAGAAAGAUAUCGGGAGCACCACACACCCCUUUCCAGCGACCUCAUGACCCCCCAUGCUCUCCCAGUCCAUCUGCUGACUUCAUAGGAAGAGUCACCACAGACAUGAAUGCCGCUGCCGAGGAAAAUGAAUCUCUCGAUGAGGUUGAUAUUCUCCCCGCAGACAGACACACUACUGAUGGCUGUGACCAAGAAGUCAUUAAAGGCCUGGAUCUUGGUUUUUAUCCAGGACGCCCGCAAUCCCAGACACUCAGACUCCUCGCUCAGUCUUUCAAGAGCCCCAAUCAGAGCCUCCAUUGACUCAGUGAAGAUCACAACCAACGACAAGUAAAUGAAAACAAAUAUACAUAAUUCACAAAUAUAUUAUGAAUAUGUUUUAAAUCAUAAAAAAGUCAAAUGUCACACAGUUAACAAUAAUAAGGUACGUAAUCAUUACUUUUGAGUGGUUCAUCUCUGGUGAUUGUGUCUUUGUAAUUAAUGUACAGUGAAGAAUGACAGAUCAAAUGUAUGAUCAAAAUAAAAUAGACAAAAUGUCUAUCUUCAAAAACAAA